rnacentral:piRNA from 1 species
UCCUUUGUGUUGGCUGAGGGAGGGC